AGACAGCACAGGGCAAGCAGAAGAGCUGCCUCAGCACCAGUCCAGACAUCCUGGGGCUCAACGGAGAUCAGGUGGAUGCACUAUUGAUCCCAGAGCUGGAGGAGAAUGGGGGAUGUCCCGACUCCUCCUCUGAUAAGGGGUCAUGCUCCAGCCUGACGUGGAAUCCAGGACUACAAACGAGCAGCUUCGAACAUGUCUGGACUCAGUGUCAAGCCGACCCACCUCCAGACCCCCUGCACCAUCAAAUGGCCCUCCUUUGAAGUCAAAUGGCCGCCUGAAGGAUCCUUUAACCUGUUCCUCAUCUACAGGGUUCAAGGAGUUAUCUUUGGGGAACUGGGGCACCCUGACCAGAUC